CCCAUUUAGGGCUGACUGCAUUGGGGAAGAAUCUCUUUCUGAAGAUCAUUCACUUUAGAGUUUUUCUGUGAGCCUAGGAAGAAACGAGGAAAGUCACAACAAUAAUUGGAUGGGAAUGAUAAACUUGCAAUGACUCCUCAAAAUUGAACAGAAUACAGAGACAGAACUCAUAAAAGUGGAGGCAAGAGAGCAGUACCUUUGGAGUUGGAUUCUUUGAGGCAGAUUAAAUAAAUGCUCAGAAGUGAGAUAGAAAGAAACCAAAGGGAAUGUAUCCCUUUCUAAACUUUUUCAAAUGGCUUCACAGUGAUGGUAAGAGAAGAAUUUGUUUAUCUAUUGCCAGUUUAAAGUACUAAACUAUGCAGAAAUCAAGACACAAAACUCAGAGAUAAGGC